AGAAGCUCCUUCUCAGUUGUUGCA
rnacentral:siRNA from 1 species